rnacentral:tRNA from 1 species
AGGCGAGUAGCUCAAUUGGCUAGAGCACCGGUCUCCAAAACCGGGGGUUGUAGGUUCAACUCCUACCUCGCCUG